rnacentral:rRNA from 1 species
AACGCGAAGAACCUUACCUGGUCUUGACAUCCUCUGAUCGCCGUAGAGAUACGGUUUCCCUUCGGGGCAGAGAGACAAGUGCUGCAUGGCUGUCGUCAGCUCGUGUCGUAGGAUGUUGGGUUAAGUCCCGCAACGAGCGCAACCCUUGCCUUUAGUUGCUACCAUUAAGUUGAGCACUCUAAAGGGACUGCCGGUGUUAAACCGGAGGAAGGCGGGGAUGACGUCAAGUCCUCAUGGCCUUUACGACCAGGGCUACACACGUACUACAAUGGUAGAGACAAACCGAUGCCAAACCGCAAGGUGGAGCGAAUCGGAAAAACACUACCUCAGUUCGGAUUGGAGUCUGCAACUCGACUCCAUGAAGCUGGAAUCGCUAGUAAUCGCAGAUCAGCACGCUGCGGUGAAUACGUUCCCGGGCCUUGUACACACCGACGAGUA